AUUGAACGCUGGCGGCAGGCCUAACACAUGCAAGUCGAACGAGUGGCGGACGGGUGAGUAAUGUAUGGGGAACUGCCCGAUGGAGGGGGAUAACUACUGGAAACGGUCGCUAAUACCGCAUACCAUCGGAUGUGCCCAGAUGGGAUUAGCUAGUAGGUGGGGUAACGGCUCACCUAGGCGACGAUCCCUAGCUGGUCUGAGAGGAUGACCAGCCACACUGGAACUGAGACACGGGCCAGACUCCUACGGGAGGCAGCAGUGGGGAAUAUUGCACAAUGGGCGAAAGCCUGAUGCAGCCAUGCCGCGUGUAUGAAGAAGGCCUUCGGGUUGUAAAGUACUUUCAGCGGGGAGGCGUUACUCGCAGAAGAAGCACCGGCUAACUCCGUGCCAGCAGCCGCGGUAAUUC
rnacentral:rRNA from 1 species